UGUAUGGCUGUAUUGGAGCCAGUCACAGUUAGCUGUAAGCUACAAUAUGUUUUCUUGUCUGUUUGUUCACUUUUAGUUUAAAGUGUCCAUUAAAGUGAGCCGAAUUAUCCGCAAGGAGCUCUUGUUUACAAUGGCGCCAUGAAUUUAUGGACAAUUGUCACUGGAUUACUUUAAAACUGAAGAGAACCUAAAAACACGAAGAUUCUCAGACAAUGACUGUGAAGGCAACAUGGGGACUGUGAAGGCAACAUGGGAUCUGUGAAGGCAACAUGGGGACCGUGAGGGAAACAUAAAAAAGAGCAAGAUCUGAGAGCUGCUUCACAGAGCAGAUUCCUGUGACUCUCAGUCGCCUGACAGACGUAAAAAACACUCAGACCUUCAGCAUGGUUAUUGAUUCAGACUCGCUGUCUGAGGAAAACCAGACGAGCACUCCUCGCCCCUCAACCCCCCCCCCCAACACGUGGACCAGGAAGACAUCCAUGUGUAGAGAGAACCUGAGGAGACGUCUGUCCUCGAACCACAGAGCUGGUUUCCAUCAAACCCAGUUACAUAAUCCAGGACAGACUGGUCUGGGUCCAGGUCCAGUUAUCCUUGAAUCCAGAGGGGGGACGUCAGAGUCCUCGUCACACCUGCCUCCUUCCUCUACGGUCAGUGUCAGAGUGAUGGGUGACCUCCAUUGAUAAAGACGACCUCGACUCAUCCGGCCAAUCACAGCUCACAUACCGCUCAUUCCUCUGCUCCUUCAAAAUAAAAGCCUCAGCUUCACGUGACGCUGUGAGCACACAGACACAGUCUGGAUAUUUGCACUUGUCAAAGUACGUUCUACAAAACUAUAGUUUUCACCUUUAAUCAUUUACAGUGCGUUCGUGUGUGUUUGUGAAGUGUUAAAACAUCAGACUGAAUAAAUCGGACUGGAGUUGUGUGACAGUUUGUAAAAAGAUGUUCUGAUAUAGUUUUGUUUUUGUUAAGUGUGAAUGCCAUUGAAUGAAUGAAUGAAUCAAUCAAUCAAUCAAUAUUUGCUGUUUUCUGUGGAGGAAAAAGUUUCCUUCACAGAUUAAAGGUAACACAGUGUGACUAACUGAUUCACACAUGGACAUUUUAAAAUGAGUGUGGAGCAUUCAGGGUCUCUAAACCAGCGUGGGCCAUUCUGGAGCUAACAUGAGUGUGGGGCUUUUGUGAACAGAAGUGAGCACAGGGUGUUCAGGAACUAAAAGGAGCGCGGCGUAUUUGGGAACUAAAAUGAAAGCUGGGCAUUCGAGAAAUAAAAGAUGCAUGGGGCGUUAGGGAACUUAAAAUGAGCAUAGGCAUUCUGUAACGAAACAAAUGCAGGGCACUUUGGAACUUAAAUGAGCGAAAAGCAUUUGGGAACUAAAACAAGCACAGGUUAUUCAGAAACUAAAAUGAGUGCAGGGCAUUUAGGAACGAAAACCAGCCAAGGCGUUUGGGAACUAAAACCAGGGCAAGGCAUUCAGGAACUAAAACCAGUGCAUGGCAUUUGGGAACUUAAACCAGAUCAGGGCGUUCAAGAACUAAAACCAGCGCAGGGCAUUUGGGAACUAAAACCAGCACAAGACAUUUGGGAAUUAAAAGCGUGGGCUGUUUGGGAACUAAAAAUGAGUGUAGGCCAUUCUCUAGCUAAAAUGUGUGCAGGGCAUUUGGGAACUAAAAUGAGUGAAAGGCAUUUGCAAACUAAAACAAGCACAGGUUAUUCAGGAGCUAAAAUAAGCACAGAGCAUUGAGGAACGAAAACCAGCCAAGGCGUUUGGGAGCUAAAACCGGCGCAGGGCGUUUGGUAACUUAAACCAGCACAGGGUGUUUGGUAACUUAAACCAGCGCAGGGCGUUUGGUAACUUAAACCAGCACAGGGUGUUUGGGAACUAAAACCAGCAAAGGGCGUAUGGGAACUAAAAAUGAAUGUAGGCCAUUCUCUAACUAAAAUGUGUGCAGGGCAUUUGGGAACUAAAAAAAUUUUCAAAGGCAUUUUCUUUUUACUUUUUUUCUGAGAUUUAUUUUUUUGGACACAUCAACGCAUUAAAAGAAGAUGUUGACUUGGA